AAUAAUUUAAUAAAAUUAAUGGUUGGAAUGGAUAAACAAAAUACAUCAUGGUGGGCCCCAUGGAGCCCAUAUCAGGACCGUCCACGGUCCUUCUCACGAACCGAUGCCCAAAUUUGGGCGCGUGCUCAAAAUAGAGCCGCGCCCAAAAUGGGGUUCUCUCUCUCUCUCUCUCUCUCUCUCUCUCUCUCUCUUCGUUCCCUAAUCCCCCCUCUCUCUCUCCAUUUCUCAAUCCUCUCUCUCCCUCCCGAUCUCUGCUCCAUCUCUCUCAUUCUCCUCCCUCUCUCUCCAGUGCAUCUCUACCGUCUCUUCUAUCUCUCUCCAUUGUAGCAGCCGUGAAGCUCCUACCCGAAGAAACACGUGCCGUGAAGCUCCUCUCCAUAGCUUGCGGUCCUUUCUACAAGUAGCUGCGAGGCAUCAACCUCUCUUUCUCUCAUUGCAUCUCUCCCUCCAAACAUGUAUCUGAUCGCAAACAAAGAUUUCCAGCACAUUCUUCGUGUUUUGAACACGAAUGUGGAUGGGAAUCGAGAUCUGAUCUUGUAAUGUUCGGUUAGGGUUCAUUGAUUUUGAUAAUUAAUCUUGAUAGUGGUAAUAGAUUUUGGAUUUUAUAGAUCUAUUCAUUUGUAUCGGAUUCUCUUUUAUCUUUGCAAUUUCUUAAGUCUAUGUUGAUUUUUUCUUUUGUGAAUUGGGUUUUACAGGUUAGUGAUUUGGGGAAUCUGAUCAGAUUGUAUGCUCAAUGGCACUCGCAUUUGCUCCCUUACUAUUCGUUUGAUCAGUUCAUAGACAAGGUGGAACAAGUAGGUGCCACCAAGCGUGUACAGGAUGUGCAAGCAUGUAGGAGAUUUUGAAUCGAAUUUUUUAUCUGACCUUGAGAGAGGCCAAUUGCCAAUAAAAGACUCCCAUGAUGGUUUGGAAGUGCCAGGUUCCCUACUUUGGCGGGCUAGGAAUGUGAUGUUGGGUUCGGUCCUGGGAGCGGCAUUUUGUUUCCCUCUUGAGUUUGGAGAGCGAGAAGAGGACCCCAUCAUCAUCUAGCAUGGGGCUUUUUGGAUUGACCUAAGGUGGCAACCAUCAGAAACCAUCUUCCUAGCGGAUUGGUGGUUCAUUCUAUAUCAGAUUGAAUGCUUCUUCUUGAAAGGUAUGUAGAGCGUUCUCUUGCAUAAAAUUUUAAAUUUUGGUUUCUCUAUAUUUUCAGUGAUGAUUUUGAACUCUUUUCUACUAUAUAAUCUAUUAAUAUGCUUUCUGAAUUCCUUGAUUUAGUAUUUUACUAUGUGUAUUGUAAUAAGACCUUAGUUCUCUAGUUAAAGUCAUGCCUUGUCUCCAUGUUCUUCCUUUAAUUUAAAAGCCAUUUUGGUCAAAAUGCCCUUUACAAGGGCAAUGA